UACGUAGGGUGCGAGCGUUUGUCCGGAAUUAUUGGGCGUAAAGAGCUCGUAGGCGGUUUGUCGCGUCGACUGUGAAAACCUACAGCUUAACUGUGGGCUUGCAGUCGAUACGGGCAGACUUGAGUUCGGUAGGGGAGACUGGAAUUCCUGGUGUAGCGGUGAAAUGCGCAGAUAUCAGGAGGAACACCGGUGGCGAAGGCGGGGUCUCUGGGCCGAUACUGACGCUGAGGAGCGAAAGCGUGGGGGAGCGAACAGG
rnacentral:rRNA from 1 species